rnacentral:rRNA from 1 species
CAGUCGCCACGGUAAUACGAAGGGGGCUAGCGUUGUUCGGAAUUACUGGGCGUAAAGCGCACGUAGGCGGACAUUUAAGUCAGGGGUGAAAUCCCGGGGCUCAACCCCGGAACUGCCUUUGAUACUGGGUGUCUAGAGUAUGGAAGAGGUGAGUGGAAUUCCGAGUGUAGAGGUGAAAUUCGUAGAUAUUCGGAGGAACACCAGUGGCGAAGGCGGCUCACUGGUCCAUUACUGACGCUGAGGUGCGAAAGCGUGGGGAGCAAACAGGAUUAGAUACCCGUGUAGUCCCUGUCUCUUAUAC